UUAUUUUCUCCGUGUGGUAUAUUUUGAUCCGGUACAGAGUUUGAAAAAUAAGAAAAAAUUUGAUGAUGUUUAUCAAAUUAUUCUUUAUUAAAAUAGGAGGCAGCAGUGGGGAAUUUUCCGUAAUAGAUGAAAAAAAACUGACAAAGCAAUGCCGCGUGGAGGUAGAAGGUUCAUGGAUCGUAAACUUCUUUUUCCACAGAAGAAGCAAUGACGGUAUUUGGAGAAUAAGCAUCGGCUAACUCUGUGCCAGCAGCCGUGGUGAUAAAGAGGAUGAGAUGAAAGUGUUAUGCGGAAUGAUUGAGGGUAAAGCGUCUGUAGGUGGCUUUUUAAGUCCGACGUCAAAUCCCAGGAUUCAACUCUGGACAAGCGGUGGAAACUAUCAAGUUGGAGUACGGUAGGGGCAGAAAAUGUACUACUACUAUCUUUAAUUAAGUGAAACCUU
rfam:Capsicum annuum cultivar Zunla-1 chromosome 2, whole genome shotgun sequence